rnacentral:rRNA from 1 species
UACGUAGGGUGCAAGCGUUGUCCGGAAUUAUUGGCGUAAAGAGCUCGUAGGCGGUCUGUCGCGUCGGCUGUGAAAACCCGGGGCUCAACCCCGGGCCUGCAGUCGAUACGGGCAGACUAGAGUGCGGUAGGGGAGACUGGAAUUCCUGGUGUAGCGGUGAAAUGCGCAGAUAUCAGGAGGAACACCGGUGGCGAAGGCGGGUCUCUGGGCCGUAACUGACGCUGAGGAGCGAAAGCGUGGGGAGCGAACAGG